CUGUUGAGGCUUUGGCGGAUUCGA
rnacentral:siRNA from 1 species